rnacentral:lncRNA from 1 species
UCUGGUAACUACCAAUUUUGCAUGGUCGCUUGAGUCUAGUUCACACGUACGAUAACAACUCAACUCCAAAUUAUCAGCGAAAUAGUUAUGACAACACCACGGCUGCGACCCUAAAGAUACGUAAAUUGCAAAUAAUCAUUUAAUUUCUGCUUCAAUUAGACAUAGGUGAUAUUGAUAAUGGAAUUUCAUUAGUUUAAAGUCGUCUAUUUACCUUUCCUUUGAGAUUUGUUGUAAUAAGUAUGAUAUCAGCAAACUGGAAAUAAGAGUAGGCUCCUACAUCAUCUGAAAACCAACAUGCAAGACAAUCUUUCUACUUAAAGACAAUUUGAUUCCACAUUUUAAUUGUUAAAAAUGCAAACUGAAACGACGACACGUACACCUUACAGAGCUUUAAAGGGCUCCUAAAAUUGGUUCGAUCCAUUUGCAGUGUAAUGCAUCCCAGAUUUCUCAGUUCGUCAACGUCGUACAUAUCGGCCGCAACAUACAAAGGCUGGGCGUUUUCCUCUGACAACUUUGUCGAUGUUCAACCAGAGUAAAUGUCACGGAGCAAUUGUUUGAAAAUAUCCGGUUUGAUAUCUUUGAUGCAAACUUUUCUCGUGCUCGUUUCUUGCAUUCCGCCGUGAAACAUGGCAGCGAAGACGGAGCUCCUGGCCGACAAAAGGAUGAGAGGACCACCGAUCGGCUCGGCUUCAUCGAUCUCACUCUUUUUCUCCGACAUUACUCAGUAGAUAAUGAAGUAAAACACACUUUUAAUUGCACUCGGCACAGCUGUUGAAUUCCCUACUAUCCUUUACCCAAGUGGUUUUUGAGAAUAUCCUCCUUGGCGAAACUGAACACAAGGAAUUAAAUCAAACACAACGAGGAUGUGAACAUC